rnacentral:rRNA from 1 species
GGCCUACGGGUGGCAGCAGUAGGGAAUAUUGGGCAAUGGUCGGAAGACUGACCCAGCCAUGCCGCGUGCAGGAAGAAGGCGGUAUGCGUUGUAAACUGCUUUUAUCUGGGAAGAAAAAGCCCCUGCGGGGGAAAUUGCCGGUACCAGAUGAAUAAGCACCGGCUAACUCCGUGCCAGCAGCCGCGGUAAUACGGAGGGUGCAAGCGUUGUCCGGAUUUAUUGGGUUUAAAGGGUGCGUAGGCGGCCUUAUAAGUCAGCGGUGAAAUACCCAGGCUCAACCUGGGGGGUGCCGUUGAUACUGUGGGGCUUGAGUACGUUCCGUGUACAUGGAAUUUAUGGUGUAGCGGUGAAAUGCAUAGAUACCAUAAGGAACACCGAUAGCGAAGGCAUUGUACAGGGGCGUAACUGACGCUGAUGCACGAAAGCGUGGGUAGCGAACAGGAUUAGAUACCCCGGUAGUCUUG